CUGCUUUUACUGCUGCUGCCACCACUGCUAACACCCCUCCAAACCCAGCACUGCAUGGUUGUCUCAGAGUCCAUCCUGUUACCCAAAUGAUCCCACAGCAACCUCAUGGCACCAUCAUGAAUGGAGACACACAAGGGCACCAUUCACUGUGACAAGACAAUGACAUGCACAUUGCUUUGCCUCCUGCCAGACUACGGGAUGCAGAGAGGGUGCAGACCGAGGACCUUGAAAAAUCAGCUUCAUGUGACAUCAUGGUGGACAUGUGUGAAAAGUACUACCCACAGAGACACUGAUAUGACCAUCACCAGAGAUCUUUCACAGAGACCACGAGCUCCCUGUCACCUGGGAAGCAAUGGCGGACCCAGCUGAGCAAUGUGGACCCAGUUGGGCACAAGCUGCUCCAGACCCAGCUGGGCACAAGCUGCUGGCCCAGUUGCUGGAGCCUAGUGAAGAGGAAAAUAUGGUGUGCAUCCUCUAUGACAAGAUGUACAAGAACUUCAUGGAGGAGGUGGACACAAUAGAUAAUGAGACCUACCAGUGGAAGAAGGGGAAACUUUGACAUACCCUAGCCACUAGCCUGAAUGCUGGCUCAACUUAAUCCCACCUGGAACCAGCCCAACCAAGGUAGGGUUCAAGUGUGUGAUGGAUCUAACUCUUAGAGAAGAGUUUCUGCAGAGACUAGGCUUCUAUUGGUACAUCUGGCUGCCAGACUGGGGCCUGGGGCCCUGGCCCAGUGAUUCCAGGUGCACCUAAGUGGAGAGAGAUGGGAAAUGGCAAAAGUGGAUGCCCUUGAAAGGAACAACUCUACCACCUGGAAUCUAGGCUGCCCCUACCCCAGCCAUCAUCUUUGUUAUCUAUACUGACCAGACUAGACAAUAGUAGUACAGUGUGUGCCUGAGGAGCCCCACUCAUUCUAAAGCUAGCUGCCCCUGCUCAAGCCACGGUGGCUUCUUCAGGACGCCCUGUACCAGGUCAGUGAGAUUCCUGGCUGCAUCUUUGUCCAUAUCAACAGCUUCAUUUGUGGAUGCCAUAUCCAAGAAGGUACCUUGAGCAUGGCCCCUGCAAACUUGCCCUAGUGUC
rnacentral:lncRNA from 1 species